AUUGAACGCUGGCGGCAGGCCUAACACAUGCAAGUCGAGCGGGUGAGGGGAGCUUGCUCCUGUAUUCAGCGGCGGACGGGGGAGUAAUGCCUAUGAAUCUGCCUGGUAGUGGGGGAUGACGUCCGGAAACGGGCGCUAAUACCGCAGACGUCCUGAGGGAGAAAGUGGGGGAUCUUCGGACCUCACGCUAUCAGAUGAGCCUAGGUCGGAUUCGCUAGUUGGUGGGGUAAAGGCCUACCAAGGCGACGAUCCGUAACUGGUCAGAGAGGAUGAUUGGUCACCCUGGAACUGAGACACGGUCCAGACUCCUACGGGGGGCCGCAGUGGGGAAUAUUGGACAAUGGACGAAAGCCUGAUCCAGCACUGCCGCGUGUGUGAAGAAGGUCUUCCGAUUGUAAAGCACUUUAAGUUGGGAGGAAGGGCAGUAAGUUAAUACCGUGCUGUUUUGACGUUACCAACAGAAUAAGCACCGGCUAACUUCGUG
rnacentral:rRNA from 1 species